UCUAUGGAUCAUCCCUCUCUUUCCUGGCCAGGGAAUCCUGUAUUUCAUGGUUUCCCAGCAUCAGUUAGACUUGAAGAAUCUCCUUCCCUGAGAAUAUAUCUACCUCACAGUGUGGGCACUGUCACUUCUGCCCAUGCAGACUUAAAACUGGAAACUUCAGGCUAUCUGAUUGUAUUGCCCUACAAUCAAAUGGCAUUUGAGAUGCAUGGGAGAUCUAUGUGCUACUAGCUGAGAUGUCCUCACCAUUGGAGAAGCAAUUAACAAAAUCCCUGACUGGAGUCUAUGAAGCAUCUGUUAAGGAAGUAUAAAAGGUUAACUUAAAUCCCAGCACACAGUUGUCAGACUAGAACAAAUCAGCAUGGAGAAUUACCUGGAGGCACCACAAGGGUAAGGUGGAGCAUAUGUGUGGUAAAAAGGUUGUUUAUGACUAGCAGAAUUAAUUUUCCAGGAUGAGAAGGUCAGACAUGCACAAAUGAAGGCUGUCUGUGAUGAGUAGAGGCUGUUUUAGGCUCUGGAUUUCACCUGGCAAGCACCAAGGUAUAUUUCAUUGGUGUAUCCAAACUCAAAACACUUAAAGUUGUGAUUUCAGAGGUGCCAAUGAAUGUUGUC